rnacentral:rRNA from 1 species
UAUAAUGGGUCAGCGACUUAUAUUCUGUAGCAAGGUUAACCGUAUAGGGGAGCCGAAGGGAAACCGAGUCUUAACUGGGCGUUAAGUUGCAGGGUAUAGACCCGAAACCCGGUGAUCUAGCCAUGGGCAGGUUGAAGGUUGGGUAACACUAACUGGAGGACCGAACCGACUAAUGUUGAAAAAUUAGCGGAUGACUUGUGGCUGGGGGUGAAAGGCCAAUCAAACCGGGAGAUAGCUGGUUCUCCCCGAAAGCUAUUUAGGUAGCGCCUCGUGAACUCAUCUUCGGGGGUAGAGCACUGUUUCGGCUAGGGGGCCAUCCCGGCUUACCAACCCGAUGCAAACUACGAAUACCGAAGAAUGUUAUCACGGGAGACACACGGCGGGUGCUAACGUCCGUCGUGAAGAGGGAAACAACCCAGACCGCCAGCUAAGGUCCCAAAGUCAUGGUUAAGUGGGAAACGAUGUGGGAAGGCACAGACAGCCAGGAUGUUGGCUUAGAAGCAGCCAUCAUUUAAAGAAAGCGUAAUAGCUCACUGGUCGAGUCGGCCUGCGCGGAAGAUGUAACGGGGCUAAACCAUGCACCGAAGCUGCGGCAGCGACGCUUAUGCGUUGUUGGGUAGGGGAGCGUUCUGUAAGCCGUUGAAGGUGUGCUGUGAGGCAUGCUGGAGGUAUCAGAAGUGCGAAUGCUGACAUAAGUAACGAUAAAGCGGGUGAAAAGCCCGCUCGCCGGAAGACCAAGGGUUCCUGUCCAACGUUAAUCGGGGCAGGGUGAGUCGACCCCUAAGGCGAGGCCGAAAGGCGUAGUCGAUGGGAAACAGGUUAAUAUUCCUGUACUUGGUGUUACUGCGAAGGGGGGACGGAGAAGGCUAUGUUAGCCGGGCGACGGUUGUCC